rnacentral:rRNA from 1 species
CUACGGGUGGCUGCAGUGAGGAAUAUUGCACAAUGGGGGGAACCCUGAUGCAGCAACGCCGCGUGGAGGAUGACGCAUUUCGGUGUGUAAACUCCUUUUAUAUGUCAAGAAAAUGACGGUAGCAUAUGAAUAAGCACCGGCUAGACUCCGUGCCAGCAGCCGCGGUAAUACGGAGGGUGCAAGCGUUACUCGGAAUCACUGGGCGUAAAGGACGUGUAGGCGGGUUGGAAAGUCAGGUGUGAAAUCCUACAGCUUAACUGUAGAACUGCACUUGAAACUUCUAAUCUAGAGUAUGGGAGGGGGAGAUGGAAUUAGUGGUGUAGGGGUAAAAUCCGUAGAUAUCACUAGGAAUACCUAAAGCGAAGGCGAUCUCCUGGAACAUUACUGACGCUAAGGCGUGAAAGCGUGGGGAGCAAACAGGAUUAGAUACCCUCGUAGUC